GCGGGAAGGAAAAUUCUUUCCUCUUUUGUGUGUAUACAAUUGGGGAUAUCACCAUCGGCCUGCCUGCUCUGCUUUUUCUACUGUAACAGCGAACGAACACGAAGAAUCUUCUUAUCUAUCUAUCUAUCUUCUUUUCUGAUUCUUGUCCUCUGUCCAGUUGUUUGCUUUUAAAUUUUUAGUUCUAUUUAUGUUUAUAUCUUUUC
rnacentral:misc_RNA from 1 species